GGGGUCUUUUCGUCUUUUAUGCGUAUGAGUCAGUCCCUAUAUAAGGGACAGUCUGUUUUAGGGUUUAGUGAAUUUGUGGGGGUCGUCUAGGUCGGCUACAGUCCGACAGUCCGCCGUACUCCCCUUCUCCUUGAAAGGAGGUUCCUCUCCUCACCUUCCCUUGUCCAUUUCAUGUAAGUCUAUCCUAGUAUGUUUUUCCCAUUUUAUAUUGAGAGAGUACACAUGUUUCUCUCCUCUGUUUAUUCUCAUCUUGAGGAACAGAGGAGAGAUUCUUUCUCUCCAGUUGGUCUUAUGUACCUCCUGUUGUAUGCGUACUCUCUUCUUUGAUCCGCCUAUUCCACACCUUGUCAUCCACCUAUAGUUCCACUGCUGAAUUUUUCUGACAAUAACGUUAUGUCUACACUCUAACCACCUAUGUGCACAAAUUUCAUCUAAAGGCAUGCCAGAUUCUUUUCAGUUCAGUUAGCUUGUGGUAUGACUCCGAUACUAACAUAUCGGCGACGUCAUAAGAAGGGUUCCCAACUGACAGAAGGUGAACCGACGGGGUCAGUAACUGACAGAGGAGGUGGACCGACGGGGUCAGUAACUGACAGAGGAGUGGGACCAAUCCCAGGAAACGGUUAGAGGUAAUGGCACACGACGGACCAAGGAGGUAUAAGUAGGGAGGGAGGUUGGCAAGAGGGGGCAUCUGGGGAGAACGGACCUAGUGGAGAGUGGGAGGAUCUCUCG
rnacentral:lncRNA from 1 species